rnacentral:rRNA from 1 species
UACGUAGGGUGCGAGCGUUGUCCGGAAUUACUGGGCGUAAAGCGCACGUAGGCGGAUCUUUAAGUCAGGGGUGAAAUCCUGGAGCUCAACUCCAGAACUGCCUUUGAUACUGAGGACCUUGAGUUCGGGAGAGGUGAGUGGAACUGCGAGUGUAGAGGUGAAAUUCGUAGAUAUUCGCAAGAACACCAGUGGCGAAGGCGGCUCACUGGCCCGAUACUGACGCUGAGGUGCGAAAGCGUGGGGAGCGAACCGG